rnacentral:tRNA from 1 species
UGGCCCAUGGUGUAAUUGGCAACACAGCAGUUUUUGGUACUGUCGUUCAAGGUUCGAGUCCUUGUGGGCCAACAA